CCUACGGGAGGCAGCAGCAAGGAAUUUUCGUCAAUGGGCGCAAGCCUGAACGAGCAACGCCGCGUGGAGGAUGACGGCCUUCGGGUUGUAAACUCCUUUUGGGGGGGAAGAAGAUGACGGUACCCUCCGAAAAAGGCUCGGCUAACUCUGUGCCAGCAGCCGCGGUAAGACAGAGGAGCCAAGCGUUGUCCGGAUUGACUGGGCGUAAAGCGCACGCAGGCGGUUCGGCGCGUGGGGUGUGAAAGCUGGCCGCUUAACGGUCAGUCGCCAUCCCAUACGGCCGGACUAGAGCCGUGCAGAGGGCGGUGGAAUUGCCGGUGUAGUGGUGAAAUGCGUAGAGAUCGGCAGGAACACCCAGGGGGAAACCAGCCGCCUGGGCACGCGCUGACGCUGAGGUGCGAGAGCGUGGGGAGCGAACCGGAUUAGAUACCCGUGUAGUC
rnacentral:rRNA from 1 species